UGGGGAAUAUUGCACAAUGGGCGCAAGCCUGAUGCAGCCAUGCCGCCGUCGUGUGAAGAAGGCCUUCGGGUUGUAAAGCACUUUCAGCGAGGAGGAAGGUGGUGAACUUAAUACGUUCAUCAAUUGACGUUACUCGCAGAAGAAGCACCGGCUAACUCCGUGC
rnacentral:rRNA from 1 species